CAGCCGCCGCGGGAAUACAGAGGGUGCGAGCGUUAAUCGGAUUUACUGGGCGUAAAGCGUGCGUAGGCGGCUAAUUGAGUCGGAUGUGAAAUCCCCGAGCUUAACUUGGGAAUUGCAUUCGAUACUGGUUAGCUAGAGUGUGGGAGAGGAUGGUAGAAUUCCAGGUGUAGCGGUGAAAUGCGUAGAGAUCUGGAGGAAUACCGAUGGCGAAGGCAGCCAUCUGGCCUAACACUGACGCUGAGGUACGAAAGCAUGGGGAGCAAACAGGAUUAGAUACCCCAGUAGUCCCUGUCUCUUAUAA
rnacentral:rRNA from 1 species